UCUGUGUCAAGAGAAAACACUCAGUUAAUAAUCUGCACAACAAUGCGUAUACACGUUCGUUGUUCCGUGACACUGUAUAUCCUAGUUGCGGGUGCGCGCAGUGUGUGUGUGUGCGUGUGUGACGCAAGACACUACUGAGUGGCAGGAGGGCUGAGCGUGGCGGGCAGGAGUGGAGGCAGCGUAUGUGCUGCGGGUGGACUCAGCCACUCACUGCUUCACUACCCGCACUCCCUCCCGCACCGCCGUGCCCACACACGCAGGAUACAACAGUUUUAAUAGUGAUGUCAGUUCACAGAAAAACAUUAACAAUCGAGUAUCAGAGAAAGAGUACUGCAUUGAGAAAUAAAAAAGAAUUGGCAGUUGUUUCCCAACUUAUGGUCAGACUGCAGUGUUACAGUGCAAUUUACUACUGUAUUCGUAAAUAUUUUGGCAAAAAAGAUUGAGGCAGGGAUUGGUCAGCUGUAUAAUUAGGACCAGUCCCAGGCUGGCAUGUAAAGACACUGACGUACUCUGAACCACAGUAGCCAGAACCUCGCUCUUGAAAUGUGUUUCAUUUAAAGAAAAAUGAGCUCACUCACCUUUAACUCUUUCACGUACACAACAUAACAUGACAAAUGAAUGAGAAAAUAUUUAACAAAAAGAGUUCCUGAGCAAUGAACACGCGCAUCACCAGAAGUUAACACAGUACUGUACAGUUUAACUCUCGCUGUGGACACCCUGGCCUUGGCCUACACUAUGGAGAACAGCUGUCUUACAGUCAGUCUCUCCGCCCUACCCUGGGGGUGACCAGCUGAGCCCGACGCCAACGCCUACACCGCCUCCAUCAGAUUAUGUGGCUGUCUGAGGUGAAUGGCUGGCUGGCUCAGGUGGACUGCUGGCUGGCUCAGGUGGAAGGCUUGCUGAGGCGAACGUCUGGCAGGACUAGAACACCACCAAACAGGUUUGUUUGGCUGACUGUGGACCCACAACAAGGUGCUGCCUGGAGGUUUUAAAGAUACGUUGUGAUGGAGGCGUCUUCACGAUUUCACAAUCUAUCCAGUAUUUCCUACUUCAACAUUUUUAAUGGACUCCACUUAAGGCAAAACGAACUUCCAUUCAACAACUGGUGUGCAGUGUCCAGAUUGUCAACAUUCCGUAAUUAAAGUCCCUACUGUAUUCUACUUCACGUACUAUGUAUAUAUUACUUUCAAAAUAAUAGUAUGCAUACAGAGU